UAGGGAAUCUUCGGCAAUGGGGCAACCUGACCGAGCAACGCCGCGUGAGUGAAGAAGGUUUUCGGAUCGUAAAACUCUGUUGGUAGAGAAGAACGUUGGUGAGAGUGGAAAGCUCAUCAAGUGACGGUAACUACCCAGAAAGGGACGGCUAACUACGUG
rnacentral:rRNA from 1 species